rnacentral:rRNA from 1 species
AUUGAACGCUGGCGGCAUGCCUUACACAUGCAAGUCGAACGGUAACAGGUCUUCGGAUGCUGACGAGUGGCGAACGGGUGAGUAAUACAUCGGAACGUGCCUAGUAGUGGGGGAUAACUACUCGAAAGAGUGGCUAAUACCGCAUGAGAUCUACGGAUGAAAGCAGGGGAUCGCAAGACCUUGUGCUACUAGAGCGGCCGAUGGCAGAUUAGGUAGUUGGUGGGAUAAAAGCUUACCAAGCCGACGAUCUGUAGCUGGUCUGAGAGGACGACCAGCCACACUGGGACUGAGACACGGCCCAGACUCCUACGGGAGGCAGCAGUGGGGAAUUUUGGACAAUGGGCGCAAGCCUGAUCCAGCCAUGCCGCGUGCGGGAAGAAGGCCUUCGGGUUGUAAACCGCUUUUGUCAGGGAAGAAACGCUCUGGACUAAUGCUCUGGGGUAAUGACGGUACCUGAAGAAUAAGCACCGGCUAACUACGUGCCAGCAGCCGCGGUAA